rnacentral:rRNA from 1 species
AACGAACGCUGGAGGCAGGCUUAACACAUGCAAGUCGAGCGCCCCGCAAGGGGAGCGGCAGACGGGUGAGUAACGCGUGGGAACCUACCUAGAGGUGCGGAAUAACUCAGGGAAACUUGAGCUAAUACCGCAUGAGCCCGAGAGGGGAAAGAUUUAUCGCCUUUAGAUGGGCCCGCGUCAGAUUAGCUAGUUGGUGAGGUAACGGCUCACCAAGGCGACGAUCUGUAGCUGGUCUGAGAGGAUGAUCAGCCAAAUUGGGACUGAGACACGGCCCAAAGUCGUACGGGAGGCAGCAGUGGGGAAUAUUGGACAUUGGGCGCAAGCCUGAUCCAGCCAUGCCGCGUGAGUGAUGACGGCCUUAGGGUUGUAAAGCUCUUUCGACGGGGACGAUAAUGACGGUACCCGUAGAGGAAGCCCCGGCUAACUUCGUGCCAGCCGCCGCCGUAA